CGCAUUACUCUCAUCUCCAGAGGGAUUUAUGCUCUCGUUCUCUAGCUUUCAAGGAAUUGAUAACUAUGUCAGGGCCAAAUUAUCCCUGCCAUGGUUAAUGGCUUGUUUAAUCUCUCUAGCAGAUUCAGGUAUGAAGUUUAGAGGUGAUAGAUUUGUAAUCAUCAGGCACUUCAUCUCCAGUGUUAUCAAUGCCUUGCACUAUUUAAUUGAACACAUCUAAACUCUCAUCGAGAUCUUUUGAAAGAUCUAACUAAAAGAGAAAAGGUUGUUUUAUCUGGUAAAUAUUUAACCAUUUGCAAUUUACUCAAAUCUUCCCCCACAAAUUCUUAGCACUAUCUGAUUUUCCUACUUUUCUAGAUAAUCGUAUUGGGAAAUCCCCUUUAGAAGUGUAAACUAAAAAGGUCUAACUGAAAUUAUUAGAAGUCAUUUUGCACUUACAUGAAGUCGAGAUUUAACACGGUUAAAAAAUGGCUCAUUAUAUUAGUAAGUACGAAAUAUGAUAGAGGCAGCAAAUUAUAGAACAUAAUCAUCACUCAGUCCAAAGAGUUUAUCAAGGAAAAACAAUCUUCAUUAAAAAAUUUAAAUAAAAAAGAAAUUUAUACAAUCUUCUUAAUUUAGUUCAUUGAUAUCAUUU
rnacentral:lncRNA from 1 species